rnacentral:rRNA from 1 species
UACGUAGGGUGCGAGCGUUGUCCGGAAUUAUUGGGCGUAAAGGGCUCGUAGGCGGUCUGUCGCGUCGAAAGUGAAAACUCAGGGCUUAACCCUGAGCCUGCUUCCGAUACGGGCAGACUAGAGGUAUGCAGGGGAGAACGGAAUUCCUGGUGUAGCGGUGAAAUGCGUAGAUAUCAGGAGGAAUACCGGUGGCGAAAGCGACUCUCUGGACGGCAACUGACGCUGAGGCACGAAAGCGUGGGGAGCAAACAGG